CACUUCUAGCAUUAAUAGUAUUAGAAGCACUGCCUGCCCAGUGACAUUAGUUAAACGGCCGCGGUAUCCUGACCGUGCAAAGGUAGCAUAAUCAUUUGUUCCUUAAUUAGGGACUUGCAUGAAUGGCUUGACGAGGGUUUAACUGUCUCUUACUUUCAAUCAGUGAAAUUGACCUUCCCGUGAAGAGGCGGGAAUAAAUUAAUAAGACGAGAAGACCCUAUGGAGCUUAAAUUAAAUUAUUCAAUUUAUAUAAAUUUUUACCUACGGGACCAAUUCCACAAAAUCUGAAUAAUAAAUUUUGGUUGGGGUGACCUCGGAGUACAAAACAACCUCCGAGAUAUACAGCUAAGACUUACCCGUCAAAGCAUCUCUUAUUAUUGAUCCAAUUAUAUUGAUCAACGGAUCAAGUUACCCUAGGGAUAACAGCGCAAUCCUAUUUAAGAGUUCGUAUCGACAAUAGGGUUUACGACCUCGAUGUUGGAUCAGGACACCCAAAUGGUGCAGCAGCUAUUAAAGGUUCGUUUGUUCAACG
rnacentral:rRNA from 1 species